UAGUCCAUGCCGUAAACGAUGUGUGCUAGUUGUUGGGCCCUUGAGGUCCAGUGACGGAGCUAACGCAUUAAGCACACCGCCUGGGGAGUACGGUCGCAAGAUUAAAACUCAAAGGAAUUGACGGGGACCCGCACAAGCGGUGGAGCAUGUUCUUUAAUUCGAAGCAACGCGAAGAACCUUACCUACACUUGACAUACUAGUCGGGAUUUUCAGAGAUGAUUAUCUUCGGUUCGGCCGGACUAGAUACAGGUGCUGCAUGGCUGUCGUCAGCUCGUGUCGUGAGAUGUUGGGUUAAGUCCCGCAACGAGCGCAACCCUCGUUCUUAGUUGCCAUCAUUAAGUUGGGCACUUUAGGAAGACUGCCGGUGACAAACCGGGAGGAAGGUGGGGAUGACGUCAAGUCAGCACGCCCCUUACGUUCUGGGGCUACACACGUACUACAAUGGUUGGGGACAAAGGGGCAGCAAGCUCGCAAGAGUAAGCGAAUCU
rnacentral:rRNA from 1 species